rnacentral:rRNA from 1 species
UACGUAGGGUGCGAGCGUUGUCCGGAAUUCUUGGGCGUAAAGGGCUCGUAGGCGGUUUGUCGCGUCGGGAGUGAAAACCUUGGGCUUAACUCAGGGCUUGCUUUCGAUACGGGCAGACUAGAGGUAUGCAGGGGAGAACGGAAUUCCUGGUGUAGUGGUGAAAUGCGUAGAUAUCGAGAGGAACACCAGUGGCGAAGGCGGCUCACUGGGCACCACCUGACGCUGAGGCGCGAAAGCGUGGGGAGCGAACCGG